rnacentral:rRNA from 1 species
UACAGAGGUCCCAAGCGUUGUUCGGAUUUACUGGGCGUAAAGGGUGCGUAGGCGGUUGUUUAAGUCUGACGUGAAAUCUCCGGGCCUAACCCGGAAACUGCGUUGGAUACUAUUCAACUAGAGGAAUGGAGGGGAGACUGGAAUACUUGGUGUAGAGGUGAAAUUCGUAGAUAUUGGGAAGAACACCGAUGGCGAAGGCAGCCAUCUGGACCGACACUGACGCUGAGGCGCGAAAGCGUGGGGAGCAAACAGG